rnacentral:rRNA from 1 species
UUUAGUAGCGAAGUAGCUGAUUUCACACUGUCAAGAAAAGUCUCUAUCGAGGUUAAAGGUACCCGUACCGCAAACCGACACAGGUGGGUGAGGAGAGUAUCCUAAGGCCAGCGAGAGAACUGUUGUUAAGGAACUCGGCAAAAUGACCCCGUAACUUAGGGAUAAGGGGUGCCACCAUCAGGUGGCCGCAGAGAAUAGGCCCAAGCGACUGUUUACCAAAAACAUAGGUUUCUGCUAAGUCGCAAGACGAUGUAUAGGAGCUGACGCCUGCCCGGUGCUGGAAGGUUAAGGGGAUCUGUUAGAGCAAUCGAAGCAGUGAACUUAAGCCCCAGUAAACGGCGGCCGUAACUAUAACGGUCCUAAGGUAGCGAAAUUCCUUGUCGGGUAAGUUCCGACCCGCACGAAAGGCGUAACGAUUUGGGCACUGUCUCAACAACAGACUCGGUGAAAUUGUAAUUCCGGUGAAGAUGCCGGAUACCUGCGACAGGACGGAAAGACCCCAUGGAGCUUUACUGUAGCUUGACAUUGGGUCUUGGUACUACAUGUACAGGAUAGGUGGGAGGCUUUGAAACCAGGACGCCAGUUUUGGCGGAGCCAUCCUUGGGAUACCACCCUUGUAGUACUGGGACUCUAACCAUAGGCCAUGAAUCUGGUCUUGGGACACUGUCAGGUGGGCAGUUUGACUGGGGCGGUCGCCUCCCAAAAGGUAACGGAGGCGCUCAAAGGUUCUCUCAGUACGGUCGGAAAUCGUACGUAGAGUGUAAAGGCAAAAGAGAGCUUGAUUGCAAGACAUACAGGUCGAGCAAGGAUGAAAAUCGGACUUAGUGAUCCGGUGGUUCUGCGUGGAAGGGCCAUCGCUCAACGGAUAAAAGCUACCCUGGGGAUAACAGGCUUAUCUCCCCCAAGAGUCCACAUCGACGGGGAGGUUUGGCACCUCGAUGUCGGCUCAUCACAUCCUGGGGCUGUAGUAGGUCCCAAGGGUUGGGCUGUUCGCCCAUUAAAGUGGUACGCGAGCUGGGUUCAGAACGUCGUGAGACAGUUCGGUCCCUAUCCGUCGCAGGCGUAGGAAAUUUGAGAAGACCUGUCCUUAGUACGAGAGGACCGGGAUGGACG